rnacentral:rRNA from 1 species
GACGAACGCUGGCGGCGUGCUUAACACAUGCAAGUCGAACGGAAAGGCCCUGCGUUUGUGGGGUGCUCGAGUGGCGAACGGGUGAGUAACACGUGAGUAACCUGCCCUUGACUUUGGGAUAACUUCAGGAAACUGGGGCUAAUACCGGAUAGGAGCUCCUGCUGCAUGGUUGGGGUUGGAAAGUUUCGGCGGUUGGGGAUGGACUCGCGGCUUAUCAGCUUGUUGGUGGGGUAGUGGCUUACCAAGGCUUUGACGGGUAGCCGGCCUGAGAGGGUGACCGGCCACAUUGGGACUGAGAUCAGGCCCAGACUCCUACGGGAGGCAGAAGUGGGGAAUAUUGCACAAUGGGCGGAAGACUGAUGCAGCAACGCCGCGUGCGGGAUGACGGCCUUCGGGUUGUAAACCGCUUUCGCCUGUGACGAAGCGUGAGUGACGGUAAUGGGUAAAGAAGCACCGGCUAACUACGUG